rfam:Pseudomonas sp. HPB0071 genomic scaffold aczIi-supercont1.1, whole genome shotgun sequence.
CAAUGAAAGGUUGCCUAUUCCAAAUCUGUUUAAAAAAUGAUCAAUCCCGACUGGAUGUUCCCCAUGGCUGAUCAAUACUUCUACUUACCGGCAGCGCCACUCCCCCGAGGCGUUAUCGGUGGGAUACAUCGCUAUUGGUGCAUCCCGUUAAACUCCUAAUGGUCUUGGCCCGGUUAGCAAAAACCGG